CGGCACGGGUGAGUAACACGUAUCCAACCUGCCGUCUACUCUUGGCCAGCCUUCUGAAAGGAAGAUUAAUCCAGGAUGGCAUCAUGAGUUCACAUGUCCGCAUGAUUAAAGGUAUUUUCCGGUAGACGAUGGGGAUGCGUUCCAUUAGAUAGUAGGCGGGGUAACGGCCCACCUAGUCAACGAUGGAUAGGGGUUCUGAGAGGAAGGUCCCCCACAUUGGAACUGAGACACGGUCCGA
rnacentral:rRNA from 1 species